AUACAGAAAGGAACCAUAACAAUAUGAUACAUCUGACCUGCCAGCCUACCUUCUAGGGCUUUACUUGAUGAGCUUGCAUUCUCAAUGCAUGGGACAAAAGCAAAGGGAACACUCUCCGUUUACCCCUUAUAAGGCCUGACCUUGGACCCCUAGUCCGUAUCUUUGACCUUGUCAUCACCACCGCAGGCAGCCAAUCUCAACUGGGAACAGCAGUGAUUUAUGGAUCUGAGCGGCUGAACCCAAAGGAAUAUGAGUCCCUUCAAUGAGAGUGGACUUAUGGUAUCAAGUCCGAGAAGCAUCCAAAAGAAUUUGCUUUCAUCCUCCAACACAGGUGAGGCUGGCAAGAAGGCUGAUGAUGCUGUUUUACACCUAGAGGUCUUAUGGAACCAGGACUGCAUUUGUACGUGGAACAAACAACUUUGGGGGAUGGUUUAAUAAUUGCCUUUGGUAGGGCUUGUCUCACAUUCAUUAAAAACUCCAGGCAAGGCUG